UAAUACGGAGGGUGCAAGCGUUAUCCGGAUUCACUGGGUUUAAAGGGUGUGUAGGCGGAUAUUUAAGUCCGAGGUGAAAUCUCCAGGCUCAACCUGGAAACUGCCUUGGAUACUAUUUAUCUUGAAUAUCGUUGAGGUAGGCGGAAUAUAUCAUGUAGCGGUGAAAUGCUUAGAUAUGAUAUAGAACACCGAUUGCGAAGGCAGCUUACUAAACGAAGAUUGACGCUGAGGCACGAAAGCGUGGGGAUCAAACAGGAUUAGAUACCCUGGUAGUCCACGCCCUAAACGAUGAUUACUCGACAUACGCGAUACACAGUGUGUGUCUGAGCGAAAGCAUUAAGUAAUCCACCUGGGAAGUACGAUCGCAAGAUUG
rnacentral:rRNA from 1 species